CAGCAGUCGCCGCGGGAAUACGGAGGAUCCAAGCGUUAUCCGGAAUCAUUGGGUUUAAAGGGUCCGUAGGCGGUCUUGUAAGUCAGUGGUGAAAGCCCAUCGCUCAACGGUGGAACGGCCAUUGAUACUGCAGGACUUGAAUUAUUGGGAAGUAACUAGAAUAUGUAGUGUAGCGGUGAAAUGCUUAGAGAUUACAUGGAAUACCAAUUGCGAAGGCAGGUUACUACCAAUUGAUUGACGCUGAUGGACGAAAGCGUGGGUAGCGAACAGGAUUAGAUACCCGCGUAGUCCCUGUCUCUUAUAC
rnacentral:rRNA from 1 species